AUACAGAGGGUGCAAGCGUUAUUCGGAAUAACUGGGCGUAAAGCGCGCGUAGGCGGAUGAUUAAGUCAGUUGUGAAAGCCCUGGGCUCAACCUAGGAACUGCAUCUGAUACUGGUCAUCUAGAGUUUAAGAGAGGGAAGUGGAAUUCCAGGUGUAGCAGUGAAAUGCGUAGAUAUCUGGAGGAACAUCAGUGGCGAAGGCGACUUCCUGGCUUAGAACUGACGCUGAGGUGCGAAAGCGUGGGUAGCGAACGGGAUUAGAAACCCUAGUAGUCC
rnacentral:rRNA from 1 species